UACGUAGGUGGCAAGCGUUGUCCGGAUUUACUGGGCGUAAAGGGCGCGUAGGCGGCCACCGCAAGUCGACUGUGAAAUCUCCGGGCUUAGCCCGGAAAGGUCAGCCGAUACUUCGGGGCUAGAGUGCAGAAGGGGCAACUGGAAUUCUCGGUGUAGCGGUGAAAUGCGUAGAUAUCGAGAGGAACACCUGCGGCGAAGGCGGGUUGCUGGGCUGACACUGACGCUGAUGCGCGAAAGCUAGGGGAGCGAACGGG
rnacentral:rRNA from 1 species